rnacentral:rRNA from 1 species
UACGUAGGAUGCAAGCGUUGUCCGGAAUUAUUGGGCGUAAAGAGCGCGCAGGCGGUUUGAGAAGUCAGAUGUGAAAGAGGCCGGCUUAACCGGCAAGGGUCAUUUGAAACUGACAGACUAGAGUACAGCAGAGGAUAGCGGAAUUCCCGGAUGUAGUGGUGAAAUGCGUAGAUAGUCGGGAGGAACACCAGUGGCGAAGGCGGCUAUCUGGGCUGAAACUGACGCUGAGGCGCGAAGGCUAGGGUAGCAAACAGG